UAAAGAGUUCUAUAACUCCCAAACCCAUGUGAACAUACCUAACGUUGCCUCGGCAGGUCGCACCUACCUUGUAGCACCCUACCCUGUAGGGCCUACCCGGGAGGUGCGGGUAAGCCUGCCGGCGGCCCACCAAACUCUGUUUGAUAUUGAAUUCUGAACCUAUAACUAAAUAAGUUAAAACUUUCAACAACGGAUCUCUUGGUUCUGGCAUCGAUGAAGAACGCAGCGAAAUGCGAUAAGUAAUGUGAAUUGCAGAAUUCAGUGAAUCAUCGAAUCUUUGAACGCAUAUUGCGCCCAUUAGUAUUCUAGUGGGCAGGACCGUUCGAGCGUCAUUUCAACCCUUAAGCCUUCGUUGCUUAGUGUUGGGAGCCUACGGCAACGUAGCUCCUCAAAGUUAGUGGCGGAGUUGGUUCACACUCUAGACGUAGUAAUUUUUUAUCUCGCCUAUUAGUUGGACUAAUCCCCUGCCGUAAAACCCCCAAUUUAUCAAGGUUGACCUCGAAUCGGUUCAGACAAACUCGCUAAAUUGAAGCAUCUUAGUCAGCGAAGGAAAAGAAACCAACAGGGAUUGCCCUAGUAACGGCGAGUGAAGCGGCAACAGCUCAAAUUUGAAAUCUGGCCCUCGGGUCCGAGUUGUAAU
rnacentral:rRNA from 1 species